CUGCGGAAUGGGCGGCUCUGGCUGCGGGCGGCCGGCGGCUGGCACACGGCGGAGGCAGCCGCAGCCGGUGCGAGGAGCGAGCCCACCACCCUGCCGCCGAGGAUGACGCGCGGGGCCCCGGCGCUGACCUCCCUCGUGCCGGCCGCGGACCGAGAGCAGCCGAGGAGCCGCGCGGGGCGGGAGCACGGCUCUGCUCCCCACCAUGCAAACGGACCUCUCUCAGCUUGGUCACAGCAGGCGUUGUCGAACCUCUGUCAUCUUAUCAAAGACACAAAGGAGUAUGAAGAGACAUGAAAAUACAUUAACCUUCUCUGGGAAACCAGGGAAAAUCUUACACUCAUCAAUGAGUUCUACAGAUUGCGAUCUUGAAGCACUCUACAGUCAGUUAACUCACCGCUUAGCAAGCUUGUGGAUACCAUUUGCUCUUCAAACUACAGAUGACUAACCUAAAAAGCAUUGUAAGCCUCUUCCCACCCCGUUCCAACACCAUUUAUUUCAAGUACAUAUUGGAAGCAGAGCUCGUGAAGCCAUGUUUUCAGAGGAGGUUAAGCUGAAAUGAGGUCCUGAGUAAAGGACAGUGUGCAGGGUGAGGGGUGAAAGCCUGCUAACCUGCAGGCCCCUGGCAUCAGCAACUGAGCGCCAAAACUUGCUCUCAUUUCAACAAUCACUGCUAAAAAGGACAGAGAAGAUUGAGACUUGGAAUUUAUUUAUAUAUUUCCUGCUUUGCAAAUGUUGUAUUUGUACCCCAGUUGCCUGGGGUCCCACCCAUCUUCCAGCACCACAAGAUGAGUCACAAAUAUUUCAGCAAUAUUGUUGUAGUUAGUUCUUUAUAUGGUUCACUAAGAACUCAGGAAGUUCCUAUUUGCUAACACUACUGAUUAUUUUAAUUUCCUGCUGUUUCAAUAUUAUCAUCCAAAUUGCUCCAUCUCUGGAACACCUAUUGAUUACCUUUCUGCAAUUAGUCUUUAUCUUUUUUUGUAAAUAAAAUGAUAUCAUAAUACGCUUCAACUUCAGUCAAAGACCACAGAGUAUAAAGGCAAACCCAAAUCAAGGAUUUAUGAGCGUUUUGGAACAGGUCCAAAGGAGGGCCACUAAGAUGAUCAGAGGGCUGGAGUACCUCUCCUGUAAUGAAAAUUUGAGUGAACUGGGCCAGGAAGACCUCAUUGUGGCCUUCCAGUACUUGAAAGGAGCUUAUAAACAGGAGGGGGAAUGGCUGUUUACAAGGGUGGAUAGCGAUAGGACAAGGGGGAAUGGUUUUAAACUGAGACAGGGGAGGAGUUUCGGUUAGAUAUUAGGAGGAAGUUUUUCCACCCAGAGGGUGGUGAUGCACUGGAACAGGUUGCCCAAGGAGGUUGUGGAUGCCCCAUCCCUGGAGGCAUUCAAGGCCAGGCUGGAUGUGGCUCUGGGCAGCCUGGUCUGCUGGUUCUAAAUACCUCUUCUUAAUUUGUCAUUUAAAAACCUCUUGUUAGCAUAAAUCAAAGCUCAAAUGAAAUGACCAAAUCCUGACUGAUUCUGAAGGUUAUGAAGAUAAAGAGGAUGCAGUUAUAUUAUAAAAAGCUUCUAGCAGGUAUGUUGUCCCAGAGACCACCCUUUCUGAAAGCGCAGACUUUGGCUAAGUCGAAAACUAAUUAACACUUCCUUGAGGAGUUCAAAGUAAUUCUUGUAAGCAAGACAGUCUCUCUCAGCCCACUGACGGAGCUGAGCAGAACACAACAUGGCUUAAGGCAGAAGAAGUUGAAAGAGUAAUAUAUUUCGACUUAUGCAUUGCAACGCAUAUUUCCCACCCUAGUUGUAGUUCACUGCAAUGAGUAGAAAAUAAUAGCGUCGCUCUAGUAUACAACAGAAGGCAGCAGAAAACUUGGUACUUUGCAUAGCUAAUGGAACAGAUUGCUCUAAAUCAGAAAUGAGUUCUUUGCAAUUCAUCAGUUAAUCUUGUCCCUGAGAAGUAUUUUCCUUCUGGAAGCCAAAAAGGAAGAAAGCAGAAAUUACACAGUCACAGAGCACUUGUUUCUAAAAGUAGCUUCUAUUGCUAGAUAUUUCUGGGCUCCAAUAACCAAAUUCAAUUUAACUAUGAACAAAUGGAGAAAGCAAAUGGUAGUUAGGGAAAAGAAUUUUGCUUCUCCUAUUUUGCAGUAUCAGAGCCAUUCACCUCAGCAAGGUGAAUGGAUGCAGAGAAAUGGUCUCCAGUUCCACCAGGGGAAGUUUAGAUAGGACAUGGGGAAGAACUGCUUCAUGGAGAGGUUGGUCAAGCAGUGAAACAGGCUGUCCAGGGCAACAGAGGAGCCCUCAUCCCUGGAGAUAUUCAAGAAGCUUGUGGAUGUGGCACUGAAGGGCAUGGACCAACAACGGGAUUCAGAAGGUCAAACUGAUGGCUGGACUUGAUGAUCUUGAAGACCUUUGCCAACUGAGAUGGUUCUAUGCUUCUAAGGCCUGUACCUUACUCAUAAAUGGAAAAAGAAAGGUCUGUAAUAUCCAACCUGUGGCUGCCCAUGGUUGGCUACUGCUAGAGGGUAGCACAGUUCAAAUAGUGUAUACACCAAAUUACUAAGAAAGCAGAA
rnacentral:lncRNA from 1 species